AUGGCUUGCUCACACUCGGUUGGGUCCCAGUUCUGGAAAUCUAUUCUGGCCAUCAAGGAAGAGAUUAGGCUGGAUUUGCGUUUCUCGGUUGGCAAUGGGUCUGGGACCCAAUUUUGGUUGGACCCAUGGCUUCAGGGCGAGCCUCUCCGCUUGCGGUUCCCAAGGCUCUUUGCGAUUUGUGAUGACCCGGCCAUUCUUGUAUCUUCGGCUGCUUUGGAGAAGGAAUGGAACAUUGCGUUCCGCCGCUCAUUCGGACCAGAUGAGGUAUGAGAAUGGACAGACCUGAGGGAAGUAGUCCCUCUUCCUCUAUCCCAGGACCCUGACACUGUUUCUUGGAGCCUUUCUCCUUCGGGUGAAUUCUCCAUUAGUUCGGCCUAUCAGGCAUUAUGUCGUAUGCCGGUUCUACAGUGGCUAUCCCCAUUGUGGAAGGCACAGUUGCCCUUGAAGAUUAAGAUUUUUGUAUGGCAGCUCCUCCGUGACCGUCUGCCUUCGGGGACCGAGGUGUUGAAACGCCAUGGUCCGGGCAAUGGCCUUUGCCCUUUGUGCCAUGUCCCGGAAAUGGAAACGCACAUUUUGUUCUCUUGCGUAGCAGCGCAGGCACUUUGGUGCUUUGUUCGUGAGGCUCAUGGGCCAACAAAUGGCUCUGGGAGGACGAGUUUUUUCCUAUUAUAA
rnacentral:rRNA from 1 species